rnacentral:rRNA from 1 species
UACGAAGGGGGCUAGCGUUGCUCGGAAUCACUGGGCGUAAAGCGCACGUAGGCGGCUUUUUAAGUCAGGGGUGAAAUCCUGGAGCUCAACUCCAGAACUGCCUUUGAUACUGAGAAGCUUGAGUCCGGGAGAGGUGAGUGGAACUGCGAGUGUAGAGGUGAAAUUCGUAGAUAUUCGCAAGAACACCAGUGGCGAAGGCGGCUCACUGGCCCGGUACUGACGCUGAGACACGAAGGCCAGGGGAGCAAACGGG